UUAUCAAGCGGGGAGCAUAGCAGUAUC
rnacentral:piRNA from 1 species